rnacentral:rRNA from 1 species
AUAUCAAUAAGCGGAGGAAAAGAAACCAACAGGGAUUGCCCUAGUAACGGCGAGUGAAGCGGCAACAGCUCAAAUUUGAAAUCUGGCGCAAGCCCGAGUUGUAAUUUGUAGAGGAUGUUUCUGGCGACGUGCCUUCCGAGUUCCCUGGAACGGGACGCCAUAGAGGGUGAGAGCCCCGUACGGUUGGAUGCCUAGCCUCUGUGAAACUCCUUCGACGAGUCGAGUAGUUUGGGAAUGCUGCUCUAAAUGGGAGGUAUACGUCUUCUAAAGCUAAAUACCGGCCAGAGACCGAUAGCGCACAAGUAGAGUGAUCGAAAGAUGAAAAGCACUUUGAAAAGAGGGUUAAAAAGUACGUGAAAUUGUUGAAAGGGAAGCGUUCAUGACCAGACUUGGGCAGGUUGAUCAUCCGUGGUUCUCCGCGGUGCACUCUGCCUGCCCAGGCCAGCAUCAGUUCGCCCCGGGGGAUAAAGGCUUUGGGAAUGUGGCUCCCUCGGGAGUGUUAUAGCCCACUGUGUAAUACCCUGGGGUGGACUGAGGUUCGCGCUCUGCAAGGAUGCUGGCGUAAUGGUCAUCAACGACCCGUCUUGAAACACGGACCAAGGAGUCGUCUUCGUAUGCGAGUGUUCGGGUGUCAAACCCCUACGCGUAAUGAAAGUGAACGUAGGAGAGAGCUUCGGCGCAUCUCCGACCGAUCCUGAUGUUCUCGGAUGGAUUUGAGUAAGAGCAUACGGGGCCGGACCCGAAAGAAGGUGAACUAUGCCUGUAUAGGGUGAAGCCAGAGGAAACUCUGGUGGAGGCUCGCAGCGGUUCUGACGUGCAAAUCGAUCGUCAAAUAUGGGCAUGGGGGCGAAAGACUAAUCGAACCUUCUAGUAGCUGGUUUCCGCCGAA